rnacentral:pre_miRNA from 1 species
AGAUUUUCGAAUCCGUGCAGAGAUUUUGUCAGACACCAAACCAUUUAGGCUGACUAGACGUCCAAGAUAAGUGAAGUU